GGAGGUGUAGCUCAAUGUCAGAGCUCUUGAUUUACAUGUAUGGGGUUCUGGGUUCGAUUUCUGGCAUUUCCA
rnacentral:tRNA from 1 species